rnacentral:rRNA from 1 species
UUCAUGACUGGGGUGAAGUCGUAACAAGGUAACCGUAGGGGAACCUGCGGUUGGAUCACCUCCUUACCUUAAAGAAGCG